rnacentral:rRNA from 1 species
AACGCGAAGAACCUUACCUACCCUUGACAUGGCUGGAAUCCUUGAGAGAUCAGGGAGUGCUCGAAAGAGAACCAGUACACAGGUGCUGCAUGGCUGUUGUCAGCUCGUGUCGUGAGAUGUUGGGUUAAGUCCCGCAACGAGCGCAACCCUUGUCAUUAGUUGCUACGAAAGGGCACUCUAAUGAGACUGCCGGUGACAAACCGGAGGAAGGUGGGGAUGACGUCAAGUCCUCAUGGCCCUUAUGGGUAGGGCUUCACACGUCAUACAAUGGUACAUACAGAGCGCCGCCAACCCGCGAGGGGGAGCUAAUCGCAGAAAGUGUAUCGUAGUCCGGAUUGUAGUCUGCAACUCGACUGCAUGAAGUUGGAAUCGCUAGUAAUCGCGGAUCAGCAUGUCGCGGUGAAUACGUUCCCGGGUCUUGUACACACCG